GGUGAAAAGCACCCCGGAAGGGGAGUGAAAUAGAACCUGAAACCGUGUGCUUACAAGUAGUCAGAGCCCGUUAAUGGGUGAUGGCGUGCCUUUUGUAGAAUGAACCGGCGAGUUACGAUUUGAUGCAAGGUUAAGCAGUAAAUGUGGAGCCGUAGCGAAAGCGAGUCUGAAUAGGGCGUUUAGUAUUUGGUCGUAGACCCGAAACCAGGUGAUCUACCCUUGGUCAGGUUGAAGUUCAGGUAACACUGAAUGGAGGACCGAACCGACUUACGUUGAAAAGUGAGCGGAUGAACUGAGGGUAGCGGAGAAAUUCCAAUCGAACCUGGAGAUAGCUGGUUCUCUCCGAAAUAGCUUUAGGGCUAGCCUCAAGUGAUGAUUAUUGGAGGUAGAGCACUGUUUGGACGAGGGGCCCCUCUCGGGUUACCGAAUUCAGACAAACUCCGAAUGCCAAUUAAUUUAACUUGGGAGUCAGAACAUGGGUGAUAAGGUCCGUGUUCGAAAGGGAAACAGCCCAGACCACCAGCUAAGGUCCCAAAAUAUAUGUUAAGUGGAAAAGGAUGUGGCGUUGCCCAGACAACUAGGAUGUUGGCUUAGAAGCAGCCAUCAUUUAAAGAGUGCGUAAUAGCUCACUAGUCGAGUGACACUGCGCCGAAAAUGUACCGGGGCUAAACAUAUUACCGAAGCUGUGGAUUGUCCUUUGGACAAUGGUAGGAGAGCGUUCUAAGGGCGUUGAAGCAUGAUCGUAAGGACAUGUGGAGCGCUUAGAAGUGAGAAUGCCGGUGUGAGUAGCGAAAGACGGGUGAGAAUCCCGUCCACCGAUUGACUAAGGUUUCCAGAGGAAGGCUCGUCCGCUCUGGGUUAGUCGGGUCCUAAGCUGAGGCCGACAGGCGUAGGCGAUGGAUAACAGGUUGAUAUUCCUGUACCACCUAUAAUCGUUUUAAUCGAUGGGGGGACGCAGUAGGAUAGGCGAAGCGUGCGAUUGGAUUGCACGUCUAAGCAGUAAGGCUGAGUAUUAGGCAAAUCCGGUACUCAUUAAGGCUGAGCUGUGAUGGGGAGAAGACAUUGUGUCUUCGAGUCGUUGAUUUCACACUGCCGAGAAAAGCCUCUAGAUAGAAAAUAGGUGCCCGUACCGCAAACCGACACAGGUAGUCAAGAUGAGAAUUCUAAGGUGAGCGAGCGAACUCUCGUUAAGGAACUCGGCAAAAUGACCCCGUAACUUCGGGAGAAGGGGUGCUCUUUAGGGUUAACGCCCAGAAGAGCCGCAGUGAAUAGGCCCAAGCGACUGUUUAUCA
rnacentral:rRNA from 1 species